rnacentral:rRNA from 1 species
AUUGAACGCUGGCGGCAGGCCUAACACAUGCAAGUCGAACGAGUGGCGGACGGGUGAGUAAUGUCUGGGAAACUGCCUGAUGGAGGGGGAUAACUACUGGAAACGGUAGCUAAUAACGCAUACCAUCGGAUGUGCCCAGAUGGGCUUAGCUAGUUGGUGGGGUAACGGCUCACCAAGGCGACGAUCCCUAGCUGGUCUGCGAGGAUGACCAGCCACACUGUAACUUAGACACGGUCCAGACUCCUACGGGAGGCAGCAGUGGGGAAUAUGGCACAAUGGGCGCAAGCCUGAUGCAGCCAUGCCGCGUGUAUGGAGCAGGCCUUCGGGUUGUAAAGUACUUUCAGCGGGGAGGCGUUACCCGCAGAAUAAGCACCGGCUAACUCCGUGCCAGCAGCCGCGGUGAUUC